UACGGAAGAUGCGAGCGUUAUCCGGAUUUAUUGGGUUUAAAGGGAGCGUAGGCGGGCUGUUAAGUCAGCGGUCAAAUGUCAGGGCCCAACCUUGGCAUGCCGUUGAUACUGUCAGCCUUGAAUACACACAAGGAAGGUGGAAUUCGUCGUGUAGCGGUGAAAUGCUUAGAUAUGACGAAGAACUCCGAUUGCGAAGGCAGCCUUCUGGGGUGCGAUUGACGCUGAGGCUCGAAAGUGCGGGUAUC
rnacentral:rRNA from 1 species